CCUGACUGCUAUCGGAUUGAUACUAAGCCAUGCGAGUCAUUGUAGUAAUACAAGGCAGACGGCUCAGUAACGCGUAGUCAACCUACCCUAUGGACGGGGAUAACCUCGGGAAACUGAGAAUAAUACCCGAUAGAACAUUAUGCCUGGAAUGGUUUAUGUUUCAAAUAAUUUAUUGCCGUAGGAUGGGACUGCGGCCUAUCAGUUUGUUGGUGAGGUAAUGGCCCACCAAGACUAUUACAGGUACGGGCUCUGAGAGGAGUAGCCCGGAGAUGGGUACUGAGACACGGACCCAGGCCCUAUGGGGCGCAGCAGGCGAGAAAACUUUGCAAUGUGCGAAAGCACGACAAGGUUAAUCCGAGUGGUUUCUGCUAAAGGAACCUUUUGUCAGUCCUAGAAACACUGGUGAAUAAGGGGUGGGCAAGUUCUGGUGUCAGCCGCCGCGGUAAAACCAGCACCUCAAGUGGUCAGGAUGAUUAUUGGGCCUAAAGCAUCCGUAGCCUGCUUUGUUAGUCUUCGGUUAAAUCCAUACGCUCAACGUAUGGGCUGCCGGAAAUACUGCAAAGCUAGGGAGUGGGAGAGGUAGACGGUACUCGGUAGGAAGGGGUAAAAUCCUUUGAUCUAUUGAUGACCACCUGUGGCGAAGGCGGUCUACCAGGACACGUCCGACGGUGAGGGAUGAAAGCUGGGGGAGCAAACCGGAUUAGAUACCCGGGUAGUCCCAGCUGUAAACUAUGCAAACUCAGUGAUGCAUUGGCUUGAUGCCAAUGCAGUGCUGCAGGGAAGCCGUUAAGUUUGCCGCCUGGGAAGUACGUACGCAAGUAUGAAACUUAAAGGAAUUGGCGGGGGAGCACCACAAGGGGUGGAGCCUGCGGUUC
rnacentral:rRNA from 1 species